UCUGAUGAUUUGAAAGUUGGC
rnacentral:miRNA from 1 species